UUGUCCGGAAUUACUGGGCGUAAAGGGCGCGUAGGCGGCAUAUUAAGUUAGAUGUGAAAUUCCCGGGCUUAACCUGGGCGUUGCAUUUAAAACUGAUAAGCUUGAGUGCCGGAGAGGAAAGCGGAACUCCUAGUGUAGCGGUGAAAUGCGUAGAUAUUAGGAGGAACAUCAGUGGCGAAGGCGGCUUUCUGGACGGUAACUGACGCUGAGGCGCGAAAGCGUGGGGAGCAAACAGGAUUAGAUACCCUGGUAGUCCACGCCGUAAACGAUGGAUACUAGGUGUAGAGGGUAUCGACUCCAUCUGUGCCGGAGCAAACGCAAUAAGUAUUCCCCCUGG
rnacentral:rRNA from 1 species